rnacentral:rRNA from 1 species
GAUGAACGCUGGCGGCGUGCCUAAUACAUGCAAGUCGAGCGAAUGGAUUGAGAGCUUGCUCUUAUGAAGUUAGCGGCGGACGGGUGAGUAACACGUGGGUAACCUGCCCAUAAGACUGGGAUAACUCCGGGAAACCGGGGCUAAUACCGGAUAACAUUUUGAACCGCAUGGAUCGAAAUUGAAAGGCGGCUUCGGCUGUCACUUAUGGAUGGACCCGCGUCGCAUUAGCUAGUUGGUGAGGUAACGGCUCACCAAGGCAACGAUGCGUAGCCGACCUGAGAGGGUGAUCGGCCACACUGGGACUGAGACACGGCCCAGACUUCUACGGGAGGCAGCAGUAGGGAAUCUUCCGCAAUGGACGAAAGUCUGACGGAGCAACGCCGCGUGAGUGAUGAAGGCUUUCGGGUCGUAAAACUCUGUUGUUAGGGAAGAACAAGUGCUAGUUGAAUAAGCUGGCACCUUGACGGUACCUAACCAGAAAGCCACGGCUAACUACGUGCCAGCAGCCGCAGUAA